rnacentral:rRNA from 1 species
AAUCUACCUAGUAGUGGGGGAUAACGUUUCGAAAGGAACGCUAAUACCGCAUACGUUCUGAGGAAGAAAGCAGGGGAUCGCAAGACCUUGCGCUGUUAGAUGAGCCUGCGUCCGAUUAGCUAGUUGGUGGGGUAAAGGCCUACCAAGGCGACGAUCGGUAACUGGUCUGAGAGGAUGAUCAGUCACACUGGAACUGAGACACGGUCCAGACUCCUACGGGAGGCAGCAGUGGGGAAUAUUGGACAAUGGGGGCAACCCUGAUCCAGCCAUGCCGCGUGUGUGAAGAAGGCCUUCGGGUUGUAAAGCACUUUAAGCGGGGAGGAAGGCUCGAUAGCUAAUAUCUAUCGGGAUUGACGUUACCCGCAAAAUAAGCACCGGCAAACUUCGUGCCAGCAGCCGCGGUAAUACGAAGGGUGCGAGCGUUAAUCGGAAUUACUGGGCGUAGAGCGCGCGUAGGUGGUUUGGUAAGCGAUAUGUGAAAUCCCCGGGCUCAACCUGGGAACUGCAUGUCGAACUGUCAGGCUAGAGUAUGGUAGAGGGGUGUGGAAUUUCCUGUGUAGCGGUGAAAUGCGUAGAUAUAGGAAGGAACAUCAGUGGCGAAGGCGACACCCUGGACCGAUACUGACACUGAGGCGCGAAAGCGUGGGUAGCGAACAGGAUUAGAUACCCUGGUAGUCCACGCCGUAAACGAUGUC